CUACGGGACGCUCCAGUGGGGAAUCUUAGACAAUGGGCGCAAGCCUGAUCUAGCCAUGCCGCGUGAGUGAUGAAGGCCUUAGGGUCGUAAAGCUCUUUCGCUGGGGAAGAUAAUGACGGUACCCAGUAAAGAAACCCCGGCUAACUCCGUGCCAGCAGGCCGCGGUAAUACGGAGGGGGUUAGCGUUGUUCGGAAUUACUGGGCGUAAAGCGCGCGUAGGCGGACUGUUAAGUCGGGGGUGAAAUCCCGGGGCUCAACCCCGGAACGGCCUUCGAUACUGGCAGUCUGGAGUUCGAGAGAGGUGAGUGGAAUUCCGAGUGUAGAGGUGAAAUUCGUAGAUAUUCGGAGGAACACCAGUGGCGAAGGCGGCUCACUGGCUCGAUACUGACGCUGAGGUGCGAAAGUGUGGGGAGCAAACAGGAUUAGAUACCCCAGUAGUC
rnacentral:rRNA from 1 species